AGGAUAAUAGUUAAAAAAUAUAACAUUUAAUUUGCUUUUAAAAAUUAUUUUAAAUAAAUUUAUCUUA
rnacentral:tRNA from 1 species